AGUGACGUCUUUGCAAACAGAUUUUGAUUUUUGCACAGUAAUCCCAUAACAAGGAUUAAUAUAGUAGACAAAGAAACCACCUGGAGCAGUAUAGCUAGAUGUGUGAAAAAGAAUAGAAACAUAUUGUUAUACCAGCUGACAAUUUAAAAAAAGUAUAAAACACAUUUCAAUCUCCCAAAGUAUCACCUUUAGAUUGACGGGCAGAAUUGGGUAGUCUACACCCAAGAGGCGGUCACCCCCUGGAAAACAUUCAACAGUCUUUCAGGGGGGUGAAUGCCUCUCGUUAGCGCACUGGAUAGGAACAUGGGAACUGCAUGCAGUUGGUGGCCGGUUACGGUUUAUCGUUCGAGUUAGACCUCUGUGUAUUCAAGAUUCUUUAAUGGCACUAUUUCAUUAGAAUGAAUUAAAAGCAAUUUUGGAAUAAGAGAUAGAACGAAAAGAAAAAGGAAGAUAAAAUCAAUAAAGUGGUA